rnacentral:rRNA from 1 species
AACGAACGCUGGCGGCAUGCCUAACACAUGCAAGUCGAACGAGACCUUCGGGUCUAGUGGCGCACGGGUGCGUAACGCGGGGGAACCUGCCCUUAGGUUCGGAAUAACUCCCCGAAAGGGGUGCUAAUACCGGAUAAUGUCUUCGGACCAAAGAUUUAUCGCCUUUGGAUGGGCCCGCGUUGGAUUAGCUGGUUGGUAGGGUAAAAGCCUACCAAGGCGACGAUCGAUAGCUGGUCUGAGAGGAUGAUCAGACACACUGGGACUGAGACACGGCCCAGACUCCUACGGGAGGCAGCAGUGGGGAAUAUUGGACAAUGGGCGAAAGCCUGAUCCAGCAAUGCCGCGUGAGUGAUGAAGGCCUGAGGGUUGUAAAGCUCGUUUACCCGGGAGGAUAAUGACAGUACCGGGAGAAUAAGCUCCGGCUAACUCCGUG